CCGUAGCAACAGAAAAAUGUAGUUAUAUGUAGAAAAAGCGAAGUAAUAUGAUUGUAAAAUCUGUAAAAGAUAAGAUUGUGUGGAUUUGAAUGUAACAUGUUGAUCUACGUGGAAAGCAAGUUGUUUCAGGUGAAGUAGAUUUUUAUUCCACUUUCUAUAAAAAUGCUACAUAGACUUGCCUGGUUGCCUGGUUUACGUUUUCCUGGCAAGCAAAACUAUCCCAAAAGCACCCAGGAGAGAGUACCCGUUUUGUUAUAUCUAUUGUGGAAUUUAUGCAAUCAAGAUCAGUAAUCAAGCCUGCCAGCAAAAUGCAGACAUAUGUUGGAGCAGUACAUGUUAAAUUAAUGUUUAGAAUUUGCUGAGGGCUCAAUUGUGGUAGCUUGGUGUUCUGCAGAACUUCGGCUAGCAUGUAUAAAGUUGCCCGGUUACACCAAGCAUGGAUCAUCUGUCAGGAUGUAUUAUCACCCAGAUACAGGCCUUAAUAUAUCGGUCAGUCACGGACAUUGUCCGAUCCAUUCGUGAAAUUGUCCGACGUAGAGAGGAAACCACCAGACAUUCUGUUGGAUCUAAGUGAAACUGAGGUUUAUUGUUUGUCCGACCCUAGUGUAUUGGGUGCCGAACCGAACUGUAGCUUUGUCCAACGUAAAUCAAAAUGUACCCUAGUCCAGGACUAGAGGCUCGUACAUGAGCCAACCCAAAUGGGGGCCCUCAGGCUGUAGAGCAAAAACAUCGGCCACAGAGGCCUCUGAUAUGUUACAAUGUCAUUUUCUGACCAUCAGAAUUCUGUAAAAUCUCUCCCCAAAGUCCGGGAAAUGGCACUUCAGAGAGUCUAGAUUCAAAAAUUUUCCGGGUGAGCAUGCCCUGGACCCCUAGAAAAUUUUUGCAUAUACGGCGCUCAACUCGUGCCUUUGGCACUUCUACUGGGGGGGGGGGCUUCGAAAAUUUUGAAUGCCCCCCCCCAUAUAACGUUACGCCACUGAUGGAGAAUCAGAGUUAAGUGUAUAAAAAGUGAACUGGAAAGGUUGUUUUAUUGUACUGUAAUCAAGUGUUAUAGUAGGGUGAUCUAGCUAUCCUUAGUCCUUACCCUGGGUCUUAUUUGCUUAUUCAGUUCAAGACAUUCACUCUGGUGUGCAACCCUUAUGAUACAAUUGCAAGAGCCAGAGCUUAUCUACUGCACAUCUUGUAUGAACUGGGCAAGAGUCAACAUCAGUUCAGGCUGCGAUUCAAAGGAGAAUAUUUGAGGGAUUGUCAUACAUUUGAUGUAAGUGUGUAAACAUCAGUGAACUCAACCCACAAUCCAUUGCCUCCAGAUAAACCUCCAUUUUCCAUCAGAAACUCCAGCUCCCCCUUUCUUACUAAAUUUCCAUACCAUCUCAAACUUAACAUUUACCUGCAGCAAGUGAAUAUCACGACAGGCAAGUAAACGUUUUAUCUUGCUUGCCCAAUUGGGCAAGUUGCCUUGCCACAAAAAGCUGGGCAUCUGUAAGUUUAUGUUUUCAUUGUUGGAUACAUUUUUUAUAGUGCAUGUACUCGAUUCAUUUUUCUUGUGGGCCGAAGCUACAUCUGAGGCAGUAUAACAUAUAGCCAUAUAGAGCAGUGGGAGAACGGGUCGACAUGUUGUCCCCUUAAUUAAUACCCCUACCUACUCAUACAGUAGGUACCCAGUAGUGGUCAUUGUCUGAUGACAAGUGAAUUUUAUUCAGAGCAAAUAAUUUUCAUGUCCAACUUGCCCUGAGGGCAAGUGGUCAAAAAAGUAAAGUUACACCACUGCCCUCACCUGUUUUGCAAUAUCUACCACCCCAUAACUUCUUCAUUCCAUGAUAUCUCUGACCAGUUCUUGUUCAUCUUUUCUUUCUACCUCAUCUACCUCAUCUCUUCAUUCCAUUAUGUCUUGCCAUGCCAUGCCAGUGUUGUUUCCAUCUCCCCAACGAUGUCUACCACUCCACAUCUUCUUCUGAUCUCUUCAUUAUGUCUUUGACCAGCUCUUCUUCACUUCUCUCCUCAACAAUGUCCACCUCCACACAUCUGUUUCUGAUCUCUUUAUUCCAUAAUGACUCUGGUGGCUCUCUUUCAUUUUUUCUUAUUUUUGUCCAUACUACCUCGGCCUAAUGCUUAAUUCCCUCAUUUCUGCAAUGUUUACCACCCGAGAUUCUCUAAUCCCUUCAUUGGGCUAGCUAUCCAUCUCUUGUAUCAUAUGUCUAUACCAUCUUAGCUUUGCGUCCUACGCAUCCUCUGCAUUGUGUACCACUCUACAUCUUCUGAUUCACUUCAUUCCACAAUUAUUCUAACCAUCUCACUUUCAUAUCUUCUUAUUACAUGUCCAUACCAUCUUAGCCUCGCUUCCCUCAUCUUCUCUGUAAUGUCUACCAUUCUAUAUCUUCUUUGUGAUCUCUUCAUUCUAUAAUGUCUCUAACCAGCUCACUUUCAUAUUGUCUUAUUACAUGUCCAUACCAUCUUAGCCUUGCUUUCCUCAUCUUCUCUGCAAUGUCUACCAUUCUAUAUCUUCUUUGUGAUCUCUUCAUUCUAUAAUGUCUCUAACCAGCUCACUUUCAUAUUGUCUUAUUACAUGUCCAUACCAUCUUAGCCUUGCUUUCCUCAUCUUCUCUGCAAUGUCUACCAUUCUAUAUCUUCUUUGUGAUCUCUUCAUUCUAUAAUGUCUCUAACCAGCUCACUUUCAUAUUGUCUUAUUACAUGUCCAUACCAUCUUAGCCUUGCUUUCCUCAUCUUCUCUGCAAUGUCUACCAUUCUAUAUCUUCUUUGUGAUCUCUUCAUUCUAUAAUGUCUCUAACCAGCUCACUUUCAUAUUGUCUUAUUACAUGUCCAUACCAUCUUAGCCUUGCUUUCCUCAUCUUCUCUGCAAUGUCUACCAUUCUAUAUCUUCUUUGUGAUCUCUUCAUUCUAUAAUGUCUCUAACCAGCUCACUUUCAUAUUGUCUUAUUACAUGUCCAUACCAUCUUAGCCUUGCUUUCCUCAUCUUCUCUGCAAUGUCUACCAUUCUAUAUCUUCUUUGUGAUCUCUUCAUUCUAUAAUGUCUCUAACCAGCUCACUUUCAUAUUGUCUUAUUACAUGUCCA